rnacentral:lncRNA from 1 species
GGGUGCAGGGGGCGCUGCGACACCCGGCGCGCCACCGACCUCCUUCCAGGGGCUCCGCCAGCUCCCCCAGCUCCCACGCGGAGUGAAGGGAGCGUUCCUAACCCGAAAAGCGAAGCCAAGCCGCCCCACCUGAGCCAAGACCAGCGCACUGGGGCAGGCCCGAGACGCGUCACGUGCCCUCGGGGCAGUCCCCGGCCUCUCCUUAAGGGGGUCCAGACCCUGUCCGGUCGGGCGCCCUCGCACCUGGGACCCGAGGCCCGGGGUCCUCACUCUGCCUCAGCGGCUCCUCUGCCCCCGCCAGCGUCCCCUCCACCCCCGGUGUUUACCUGUCUCGGUCGUUAGGCGAGGAGAAAUUCGCGGCGCCGCGGCUGUCAGCGACUGGCAAAAAAGAUGAUUUAGGUGGUGAUAUUAACAAAUGAGAAAAAUGAACUCCGUUUAAAAAGCUCUCAUCACAUUACCUGAGAUAUCGUCUAUGAAACAAGGUGGUGUGUUCUUGCCCAGGAUUCCUGCUGACAACUUUGGCAGAGCCAUGUCUAACUGUCUAGCUGGGUGUGAGGUGUCUCAGCCAGCCAAGACAAUGUCAGUGUCACCUGGAACCUGUGCAGCAUGUGGGCCCUCCUCCACUGGCUGUCCUCUGCGUCGCAGCUUUUAUGGACUGUCUGAUUUUCUCUGAUCUUCUUUGUUCCCACCCUGGACUUGGCUUCUGACUUUAUUUUUCUGGAAACCGGAAUCUUCCUGUGUCUUUACUGGCAGUUCCUGAGGCAAUGGUAAUUUUCUGGUCCCCGACACCAGUGAAUGAUCAGCAGCUACCCUCAUUCAUCCCCUUCCUCGGAGUGUGCCAAAAAGGUUUUCUUUUUAUGUAGAUUAUUCAUAAGGCGUAUCAGUGUGAUUCCAAUUGGUACAAUCAAGGGUGGGGGCGGCGGGUGCCAUGUGGGGAGAGGCUUUUCCUCUCAUGAUUUAGAUCCGUGAGGUGGGUAAAUAGACCCAUGAGGUGGGUAAAUGCUUAAUAAUGCACUUCAAUGCCUGGUAGAACUCAUUUUGCCCAUUACUUUCUCUUAGCUUCAGAAUAUUUUCUGAUAUAUAUGUCAGAUGUAUUUUAUAUAUAUAUAUGACAUAUAUUACAGGCAUGUACCACUAUGCCCAGCUAAUUUUUG